rnacentral:tRNA from 1 species
UCCGUGGUAGCUCAAUGGUGGAGCAUUCGGCUGUUAACCGAAGGGUUGGAGGUUCGAGUCCUCUCCACGGAGCCA